AUUGCAAACCGUUCUAUCGCUCCGUAUUUAUAUAUGGGGAGGAAAGUCCGGGCUCCAUUGGGCAAUGCAGCGGGUAACACCCGUCGCCUCGAUUAGAAGCUUGCUUCGUUUCGGGGUAGGACCAGUGCAACAGAAAGAAUGUACGUCCUGAUAAUUCGCUUGCGAAUUCGUCAGGAGCUGUAGUGAAAUCAGGUAAACUCUGCGUGGAGCAAGACCAAAUAAAGGGAGAGAGGCUGCCCGCCUCGUUUGAUCCCAGGGUAGGUCGUUAGAUCUUACCAGUAAUGGUAAGGCCAGACAAAUGAUAGAAGCCCAGGCGAUUUCGUCUGGGAACAGAACCCGGCUUAUAGGUUUGCUAUUAUU
rnacentral:RNase_P_RNA from 1 species